UGGGGAAUCUUGCACAAUGGGGGAAACCCUGAUGCAGCGACGCCGCGUGAGCGAUGAAGCCCUUCGGGGUGUAAAGCUCUUUCGACCCGGAAGAUAAUGACGGUACGGGGAGAAGAAGCUGCGGCUAACUACGUGCCAGCAGCCGCGGUAAUACGUAGGCAGCGAGCGUUGUUCGGAGUUACUGGGCGUAAAGAGUGCGUAGGCGGCGGCCCAAGUCUGGUGUGAAAUCUCCCGGCUCAACCGGGAGGGUGCGCCGGAAACUGGGUUGCUGGAGUACUGGAGAGGCAGGCGGAAUUCCUGGUGUAGCGGUGAAAUGCGUAGAUAUCAGGAGGAACACCCGCGGUGUAGACGGCCUGCUGGACAGUCACUGACGCUGAGGCACGAAAGCGUGGGGAGCAAACAGGAUUAGAUACCCUGGUAGUCCACGCCCUAAACGAUGCAUACUUGGUGUGGGCAGUUCAGUCUGUCCGUGCCGAAGCUAACGCGAUAAG
rnacentral:rRNA from 1 species